UAUACAUGCAAGUCGAACGCACUUUCGUUAAUUGAUUUUGAGAUGCUUGCAUCGAAGAUGAUUUUAACUAUAAAGUGAGUGGCGAACGGGUGAGUAACACGUGGGUAACCUGCCCAGAAGUGGGGGAUAACACCUGGAAACAGAUGCUAAUACCGCAUAACAAAAUUAACCGCAUGGUUGAUUUUUAAAAGAUGGCUUCGGCUAUCACUUCUGGAUGGACCCGCGGCGUAUUAGCUAGUUGGUGAGAUAAAGGCUCACCAAGGCAGUGAUACGUAGCCGACCUGAGAGGGUAAUCGGCCACAUUGGGACUGAGACACGGCCCAGACUCCUACGGGAGGCAGCAGUAGGGAAUCUUCCACAAUGGACGCAAGUUUGAUGGAGCAACGCCGCGUGAGUGAUGAAGGCUUUCGGGUCGUAAAACUCUGUUGUUGGAGAAGAACGUGUGUGAGAGUAACUGCUCAUGCAGUGACGGUAUCCAACCAGAAAGCCACGGCUAACUACGUGCCAGCAGCCGCGGUAAUACGUAGGUGGCAAGCGUUAUCCGGAUUUAUUGGGCGUAAAGCGAGCGCAGGCGGUCUUUUAAGUCUAAUGUGAAAGCCUUCGGCUUAACCGAAGAAGUGCAUUGGAAACUGGGAGACUUGAGUGCAGAAGAGGAGAGUGGAACUCCAUGUGUAGCGGUGAAAUGCGUAGAUAUAUGGAAGAACACCAGUGGCGAAGGCGGCUCUCUGGUCUGCAACUGACGCUGAGGCUCGAAAGCAUGGGUAGCGAACAGGAUUAGAUACCCUGGUAGUCCAUGCCGUAAACGAUGAAUGCUAAGUGUUGGAGGGUUUCCGCCCUUCAGUGCUGCAGCUAACGCAUUAAGCAUUCCGCCUGGGGAGUACGACCGCAAGGUUGAAACUCAAAAGAAUUGACGGGGGCCCGCACAAGCGGUGGAGCAUGUGUUUAAUUCGAAGCUACGCGAAGAACCUUACCAGGUCUUGACAUCUUCUGCUAACCUAGAGA
rnacentral:rRNA from 1 species